GGUGGUGUGGUGUAGUGGUUAAGACCAGGUGGAUUCCUAAUCUGGAGGGGCAGGGAUUGAUUCCCUGCUCCUCCA
rnacentral:tRNA from 1 species